CCUACGGGAGGCAGCAGUGGGGAAUCUUCCGCAAUGGGCGAAAGCCUGACGGAGCAACGCCGCGUGAACGAAUGAAGGCCUUCGGGUUGUAAAGAUCUGUUGACAGGGACGAAUAAGCAAUGCGAAUAGUUCUGUGUAUGACGGUACCUGUGUAGAAAGCUCCGGCUAACUACGUGCCACAAGCCGCGGUAAUACGUAGGGAGCAAGCGUUGUCCGGAAUUAAUGGGGGUAAAGGGCGUGUAGGUGGGCGCGUAAGACAGGUGUGAAAACUCCGGGCUCAACCUGGGUACUGCAUUUGAAACUGGGUGCCUUGAGGGCGCGAGAGGAAAGUGGAAUUCAUGGUGUAGCGGUGAAAUGCUUAGAUAUUAGGAGGAACUCCGGUGGCGAAGGCGACUUUCUGGACUGUAACUGACGCUGAGGCGCGAAAGCGUGGGUAGCGAACGGGAUUAGAUACCCCAGUAGUC
rnacentral:rRNA from 1 species